AUUGAACGCUGGCGGCAUGCCUUACACAUGCAAGUCGAACGGCAGCACGGGAGCAAUCCUGGUGGCGAGUGGCGAACGGGUGAGUAAAGUAUCGGAACGUGCCCAGUCGUGGGGGAUAACGUAGCGAAAGUUACGCUAAUACCGCAUACGAUCUAUGGAUGAAAGCGGGGGAUCGCAAGACCUCGCGCGAUUGGAGCGGCCGAUAUCAGAUUAGGUAGUUGGUGGGGUAAAGGCUCACCAAGCCGACGAUCUGUAGCUGGUCUGAGAGGACGACAAGCCACACUGGGACUGGGACACGGCCCAGACUCCUACGGGAGGCAGCAGUGGGGAAUUUUGGACAAUGGGCGAAAGCCUGAUCCAGCCAUGCCGCGUGCAGGAUGAAGGCCUUCGGGUUGUAAACUGCUUUUGUACGGAACGAAAAGGUUUGGGCUAAUAAGCUGAGCUCAUGACGGUACCGUAAGAAUAAGCACCGGCUAACUACGUGCCAGCAGCCGCGGUAA
rnacentral:rRNA from 1 species